UUUGUAUUUACAGCUGUGCAUGUCACUGACACCCCCUCAACAUCCAGUGGUGAUGAAAUCCUUUACUCUGUGAUUGACUUAAAGAACGCAAAGCCAGCUAAACCCCGACCAAAACGUGACUGUGGCGUCCUGUACUCUGCUGUCCUUGUCAAGACACCAGAAGUAAAGGAAGAGGGUCCCCAAGGAUGAAAGCCAGCCUGAAUCCAGAGACACUGAGAAGGAGUGCAUGUCAGAGAUCACAGUCCCUCCUGAAUUUAGAGAACAUCCCUGGGAUUCAGGCCUGUUCCUGGCUAUUGAAUUGGUUUGGUGAUUUUAGGACAUAAUUACUGGGCCAUUCUACAGAUAAGAAAAACAUUGUGCUUUUACUCUACAGACAAUGUUUGUUCCAAUGUAACAAGAUAUAAAAACAACCUGUGUACC